UGGGGAAUUUUGGACAAUGGGCGAAAGCCUGAUCCAGCAAUGCCGCGUGUGUGAAGAAGGCCUUCGGGUUGUAAAGCACUUUUGUCCGGAAAGAAAUCCUUGGCUCUAAUACAGUCGGGGGAUGACGGUACCGGAAGAAUAAGCACCGGCUAACUACGUGCCAGCAGCCGCGGUAAUACGUAGGGUGCAAGCGUUAAUCGGAAUUACUGGGCGUAAAGCGUGCGCAGGCGGUUUGCUAAGACCGAUGUGAAAUCCCCGGGCUCAACCUGGGAACUGCAUUGGUGACUGGCAGGCUAGAGUAUGGCAGAGGGGGGUAGAAUUCCACGUGUAGCAGUGAAAUGCGUAGAGAUGUGGAGGAAUACCGAUGGCGAAGGCAGCCCCUGGGCCAAUACUGACGCUCAUGCACGAAAGCGUGGGGAGCAAACAGGAUUAGAUACCCUGGUAGUCCACGCCCUAAAACGAUGUCAACUAGUUGUUGGGGAUUCAUUUCCUUAGUAACGUAGCUAACGCGUGAAGUUGACCGCCUGGGGAGUACGGUCGCAAGAUUAAAACUUAAAGGAAUUGAC
rnacentral:rRNA from 1 species